rnacentral:tRNA from 1 species
AGAGAGGUGGUUCAAUGGAUAGAAUGUCAGACCUGGAAUCAGAAGGACCUGGAUUCAAAUCUUUUCUA